GAAACUCGCCUCCAUGAAGUUGGAUUCGCUAGUAAUCGCGCAUCAGCCAUGGCGCGGUGAAUACGUUCCCGGGCCUUGUACACACCGCCCGUCAAGCCAUGGAAGCCGGGGGUGCCUGAAGUGUGCAGCCGCAAGGAGCGCCCUAAGGUAAAACCGGUGACUGGGGCUAAGUCGUAACAAGGUAGC
rnacentral:rRNA from 1 species